UGUUAGUCACUUGAAACAUCUUAAUGACAACCAAAAACUUGUGACAUGUUUUUCCAUUUGGACCAAACGUCUUGUGAAUUACUGAAAAAAAAUAGUAACUUAGGAAAUUAUCAUCUUCAGCUCAACACAGACUGUAACCGUUACUAAGCAAAAUCAGUCUUGCUCUCAGUUUUAAAUGAACUGAGAUGAAUGCAAUGCCAGGUGAAACAAAUCUGAACUUUCUGCUGUCAAGUAAAGGAAAGGAUAUCACACUCCAUCCUCAAGUAAACAAGGAAAUCAGCUGUUUGUGCUCUGACCUCAAUCUGUGGCACCGCACUUUGUGCCUUAUUAAAGAUGGCACACAUAAAUGACCAUGCAGCAAUCAAACCACCCAAUUUGGUAACAAGUAAAACUUACAUAAAUACUGGUGUACACCUGCUAUAUCAUCUUACCUGGAAGACUGCAUGGGAACGAGAAGAGGAGGCAUUCACGUCUGUGGGAUGUUGUGUUCUAUUUUUAUUUCCAUAAUCCAACAUUUGAAGGAUUUCCUCUGCUGAUUUUGGCUUUAAAAGUAGAGUACGGGAUGUUCAAGGGAACAUAACUAAUCUUCAAGACAGGCAUCAUUAGAAUGUGAAAUGAAUGUGUUAGAAACAAUUGGCCUUUUUGGAAAGAUACAAGACAGUAACAGGUAUCUAUUAGUAACAUCAAAUUUGUUGAGCAAUUAUUCAGUUCCAAUCCCAUCACGGAACAUUUCAUAAUGUCCCAAAACAGUUCAUAAUGGGUAGGAGGA